rnacentral:lncRNA from 1 species
CUGAAGUAGAGAAACCCAGAAAGAGUAAAAGUCAAAGAGAGAAGAAUGUACCAUUUCGAGGAGUUGAACUCGAAAACACUUGCUAGAAAAAACUCACUGAUACGCAUUUAGAUAUCUUUUAUUAAUUGCACAGUUAAAGCGUCAUAGAUACAAUAUUCCUCUAGCCAUCAGAACCUAGAACCUAGAACAUAUAACUAUUAAGUGUUAUAAAAACUUACCACAAAAUUGUCAUAAGAGAAUAUACAACCGUAAGCUUCAUUCAGUUUCAUGGCAUAUCAUAUCAAUUUAUGAAAACCUCCUUGCAGUUUGUCGUUCAAAAAAUCCAACUCAGAGUAAAAAUCAACAAUAGUAACCCAUAAUAGCAUAAAGUAUAACCAUUAAAUUAAAUUCAAUAUAACACAGAAACAAUUUCACUACUAUACAUAGAACUCCAUAAAUUCCUUACCACAUAAACCUUGAGAGGUCCAAUAGGUCUAGAAGCCUCAAAAACCUUUUUCCAUAUUCAGCUCCAACCGCCUGAAAACAUUGAAAAACAGAGGAAAAAAAAAACAUAAACUCAUCAAAAUUCCCCACCCAAAAAUAAGCUAAAAAUGGAAAAUAUUCAAACCCCAAAAGCUCUGGUUUCCUAUAUGCCACAUGGAUCUACAUUAGAAAACAUUGUCGUAGUCUUAUACUUAAUUCGGUAUAAAAGUGAAAGAUUUAAGAUAUUUCAGUACAAUGCAAGCGGUAGACAUGUCAAAAUUAGAUUUUAUUUGAUAAUUAUCAAGAAAUAUCAUCUAGAAAUGACAAAACCAAAUUAUAGUCGUAACAAUGAUUUCACCUUUGUUUAUUUUUCUUUUACAAUAGGUCUUAUAUGUGUGUUAAUUUCCUAUAAAUGGUUAUUUGAUUGAGUCUAAAAUCUUCAGUCAAAUAUUUCAACCAUCAAAACCAAAUCUUCAAUCCAUUCAAACUAUAUAUUAAAGUUUAUUAUCAAAUAUAGGAAACAAUGAAUAAAACAAAUCAUACUCAUACAUGGAUACACCAAUACACAGUGACAUUACAACAAUUUGAUACCAAAAAUCGAAAUGCUCAGAUACUCAACACAGACACUAUUCAUAGAUCCAUGACUAAGAAUUUCUCAGCUCUCGGUUGAAAUUAAUUAAAUAAAAAAAAUCACGGAAGCGAAUUUAUACCUCUGAUAUUUAGAGCUUCGUGUCCCAUGAUUCCUUCGCCGGCUUGGUUCAUCUUCUAAUCCAUUGUUCGGCCUUCACACAACCUGCAGAUAGAAACAAUACCCAUUAUACCUUGGUCAGAUGGAUUUUAGAGAGAGGAGAGAGAGAUUAGGGCUUAAGGGCAAACUGAAAACAAUUUUUUUUAUGCAAGUGUAACAUGCCAAUUUGUAAAUAUAACGACCCGUAUUUUCCAGUAUUCAAAAUCAAAGGUAGUUCAUUGGUCCACAUCAUGCAAGAUUUGCGCCGAAAUUGAUAGUGUAGCAUGAAAACUUAAAUCAAAGAUUGAACCUAAACUCAAGUAUCCACAUUCAUGUCGAACAUAAAUGAAAGAUGUACAAAAUAUCAAACCAUGACAAAGAUUUAAAAUUUAUUCCUAACCCAUCAAAGUUUUCAAAUUUUUACAAACUGGGUUCAAUUUACCGCACAAAAAAUUCAACAAUACAGAAAAAUCCAUACCUUUAACGCCAAGAAAACCUUCACUAUAUGAGAGGUAAAGUCAAUCUGCAACACAAUAAAUUGAUCACAUAAACGUAAGUAGAUAUAAUCAAAUCAAAUUAGAGUAUUGAUGAAGAAGAAAUGAAAAGAAGAGGGUUACUAUGCUAUGCAUUCAGGAUCUUCCUGGAAUCAAAACCCCAAAAAACUAAAACGAAAUUUGCAUCGAAAACCCAUUCGGAAUCCAAAUUUACAUCCCUGAAUUAGUUGGAGCAAUUCAAUUGAUAAACACCCAGAACACAGUAAACCAAAAAUGAAAUAUACAAACACAGAAAAAUAAAAAUGAUCUAAAAAAAAAUUCAAUUAAAAGAAAGGAUUUGAGAUAUGAGAGACAUGCAUACCUUGCAGGUAGGCAGCAGUGGCUGAUGGGUAGAUGCUGGCUGCGUUGAUUCUUUCUGGGAGAAAACGGGAAGAAGAAUAUGCGAGAGAGUUCAAUAAAAAUCAAUAUUUGCAACUUUCUCACCUGCAAACGUUGGAUUAGAUAAGCCCAGAACAAAUUCCGACCGAAUUAAAAAUGGGUAGAAACUUCUAACCUCUUAUUGAUUUUCAAGAAAACAACUUUGAUAACUAAUUCGUGAACAACAAAGCAAGAGGCGGAAUAAUUUGAAGAAUAAAAAUGACGAAGCGGUACAGCCACAUAAAACAAAGUCUGAGACGGAGAGAAAUGGACGGCCAAAAAGGAAGGAGCUUGAGGUAUGUGAGAGGAGAGUGAAAAGUAAAACAGAAGAAAAAAGGGGGUUAAAAUAGGAUGAUGUUAAUAAAUAAAGAAAAGAAAUACAUGAAAAGUAGCAGAUGAAGUCGUUGCUAACAAGAGCUAUCAAGCAGAUUUAGCUCAAUCUCAACAAGAAUUUUACACAUUGAAUGCAAACAAAUCAAGUUCCAGCUCUCUCAGUAGCUGUAAGUAACGAAACAAACAAAUCAGAUAAGAUAAAAAUAAAGCAAAUGUAUCGUAAC